CUCAGUUUGUGAUGAGCGAGUGAGGAGGGAGGUAGUGCCCGUCGUCCGUGUGACAACUUAGAUAGUGUCUCAAUAUGGAGUGAAUUUUAAAAUAUAUUCGGUGUUUUGGUGUUUCAAAUAGUCCUUCGUCAUGGAUAAGAUACGAGUGGCUGUGAGGGUCCGGCCCUUCAACCGUCGAGAGAAGGAGCUGGGGACGAAGAGCAUUGUAGCCAUGUCCAACAACCAGACCAUCCUCCACCACCCCUCAGCCCUCGACAAACAUGACAGCCGGAAGCUGCG